rnacentral:tRNA from 1 species
UGGGCUAUAGCCAAGCGGUAAGGCAUGGGACUUUGACUCCUAGAUGCGCCGGUUCGAAUCCGACUAGCCCAG